rnacentral:SRP_RNA from 1 species
GCCUGGCGCGGUGGCGCGUGCCUGUAGUCCCAGCCGGGAGGCUGAGGCUGGAGGAGCGCUUGAGUCCAGGAGUUCUGGGCUGCAGUGCGCUAUGCCGAUCGGGUGUCCACACUACGUUCGGCAUCAAUAUGGUGACCUCCCAGGCGCGGGGUCCACCAGGUUGCCUAAGGAGGGGUGAACCGGCCCAGGUCGGAAACGGAGCUGUCAAACUUCCCCAUCCAGGGGAUGCUGGAGCUCUCAGCAAGGUAAAAGUCACAGGUGGUUUCAGGUGACCUAGAUGACACCCCGGCUCU